rnacentral:rRNA from 1 species
UACGUAGGGGGCAAACGUUGUCCGGAAUUAUUGGGCGUAAAGAGCGUGUAGGCGGUCCGGUAAGUCAGCUGUGAAAGUCAAGGGCUCAACCCUUGAAAGCCGGUUGAUACUGUCGGGCUAGAGUCCGGAAGAGGCGAGUGGAAUUCCCGGUGUAGCGGUGAAAUGCGCAGAUAUCGGGAGGAACACCAAUGGCGAAGGCAGCUCGCUGGGACGGUACUGACGCUGAGACGCGAAAGCGUGGGGAGCAAACAGG